rnacentral:rRNA from 1 species
ACUAAACAGCUAGCUCAAACUAUAAAAACCAAGUUAAUGAUAUAAAUAGUUCUACAAAAAGCUAAAAGCACAAACUAAACCAUUCGACCACCCCAGUACGGGCGACAGAAAAGGAAAUAAAGACGCUAUAGACAAA